rnacentral:rRNA from 1 species
AGCGAACGCUGGCGGCAGGCCUAAUACAUGCAAGUCGAGCGGGCAUAGCAAUAUGUCAGCGGCAGACGGGUGAGUAACACGUGGGAACGUACCCUUUGGUUCGGAACAACACAGGGAAACUUGUGCUAAUACCGGAUAAGCCCUUACGGGGAAAGAUUUAUCGCCGAAGGAUCGGCCCGCGUCUGAUUAGCUAGUUGGUGAGGUAAUGGCUCACCAAGGCGACGAUCAGUAGCUGGUCUGAGAGGAUGAUCAGCCACACUGGGACUGAGACACGGCCCAGACUCCUACGGGAGGCAGCAGUAGGGAAUAUUGGACAAUGGGCGAAAGCCUGAUCCAGCCAUGCCGCGUGAGUGAUGAAGGCCUUAGGGUUGUAAAGCUCUUUCAGCGGGGAAGAUAAUGACGGUACCCGCAGAAGAAGCCCCGGCUAACUUCGUGCCAGCCGCCGCCGUAACAC